UACGGAGGGUGCGAGCGUUGUCCGGAAUCACUGGGCGUAAAGGGCGCGUAGGCGGCGCGGAAAGUCGUCGGUGAAAGCUCGGGGCUCAACCCUGAGUCUGCCGGUGAUACUCCCGCGCUCGAGCUCACUAGAGGCAGAUGGAAUUCCGGGUGUAGCGGUGGAAUGCGUAGAGAUCCGGAAGAACACCGGUGGCGAAGGCGGUCUGCUGGGGUGAGGCUGACGCUGAUGCGCGACAGCGUGGGGAGCAACAGG
rnacentral:rRNA from 1 species